UAAGGCCUGCACAGCUCGUUAGAUUAUUGUUUCCUAGACCGAUAAUUUUUUCUUUUAGGGAGCUAUCCCUGAUAAGACCGUGGUCUUGUUAAAUGGCGCCCACCUGUAACGUACGGGUCUUGAGAGAACUUAUUAGUCGACGGCUGACGUGGGCCAUAA
rnacentral:other from 1 species